AUACGUAUGUCGCAAGCGUUAUCCGGAUUUAUUGGGCGUAAAGCGCGUCUAGGCGGCUUAGUAAGUCUGAUGUGAAAAUGCGGGGCUCAACCCCGUAUUGCGUUGGAAACUGCUAAACUAGAGUACUGGAGAGGUAGGCGGAACUACAAGUGUAGAGGUGAAAUUCGUAGAUAUUUGUAGGAAUGCCGAUGGGGAAGCCAGCCUACUGGACAGAUACUGACGCUAAAGCGCGAAAGCGUGGGUAGCAAACAGGAUUAGAUACCCUGGUAGUCCACGCCGUAAACGAUGAUUACUAGGUGGUGGGGGUCGAACCUCAGCGCCCAAGCUAACGCGAUAAGUAAUCCGCCUGGGGAGUACGUACGCAAGUAUGAAACUCAAAUGAAUUGACGGGG
rnacentral:rRNA from 1 species